UACGAAGGGGGCUAGCGUUGCUCGGAAUCACUGGGCGUAAAGGGCGCGUAGGCGGCCAAGUAAGUUGGGGGUGAAAGCCCGUGGCUCAACCACGGAAUUGCCUUCGAUACUGCUUGGCUUGAGACCGGAAGAGGUGAGUGGAACUGCGAGUGUAGAGGUGAAAUUCGUAGAUAUUCGCAAGAACACCAGUGGCGAAGGCGGCUCACUGGUCCGGAUCUGACGCUGAGGCGCGAAAGCGUGGGGAGCGAUCCGG
rnacentral:rRNA from 1 species